AAUCCUACCCUUGAAGGAUGAUCUAUGGUCAUUAGUGACUAGAUGUUCAACCAGAACAUAAAAGCAUGGUGUUAUUGAUUCUUAGUUUUGUUGAUGUCCUUUAAUAGGAUGCCUUUGUACGGCUGCAGUAAGAUCUUGAGUGCCUACCGUCUUUAAAGAAACUACUUAGUAGGUUUCUAAGGCAAGCAGUUAGGAGUCUAGGGAUACAUCUCUAUCAAGAUAACACAAAAAUCAUUAAAGUCAGAUAUAUCAUAGUAAAUAUACAACAUAAUUAUUGGAUGUCUUGCAUUCAAUAUCAUGGAGCGGCUCUGUUCAUUAUUUAUCUCACCAUGAAAUAACCCCUAGGAAAUCCUAUCAAAAUAGACUCAAAAUAAAGAAGGUGGUAAUGAAAAGAAAAUUAGUGCUCAAAGCGUUAAUUUUGUGGACUUAGACCCAAGGGAAGAAUAUUUGGAUGAAAAAAAUUUCCCCACAGAAGAUAUUAAAGAAAUCCAAAUUGAAAUUUCAAAGUUUCCAAAUCGCAAUUUUAGGAAGCUCUUUCAUUGAGGACGAAGAGGCUAGAUAAGGAGGUGAAAAAGAUGAAGGAGGCACAAUUUAUAAAUAAGCUUAAGUAAUCCCACUUGGAUGGCCAACAUAUUAAUUGUGAAAAAGUCCUCAAGUAAGUGGAAGAUGUGCCAAGAUUUCACUAACCUAGACCUAGUGUGCCCUAAGGACACAUACCCUCUGCCCAACAUGGAUACAUUGAUUGAUAGAGUUUUGGGUUAUAAAAUGCUCAACUUCAUGGACGUAUACUCGGGGUAUAAACAAAUCAAAAUGAACCCCCUAGACGCGCCCAAGACAACCUUUAUGAUCAACACUAGCAAGUGCUAAUACGAAGUGAUUUUCUUUGGCCUCAAAACAUUUUACACCACCUCCCAGAAAACUAGAGAUGCUUCGAACAAAGUUGAUAUUCCUCUUAAUGGUGUAUGCGUAUGGACUGAUUUGUAGGGUUGUUAGUAGUGAAUUGGCGUUAUUCUAGCUGCUAUGUAUGCUAUGUGGACCACUUAACUAAUGACUUAUUUGUAAGAUUUUAUUCCUACUACUAGUGCAUCAAGUUUGUGAACAAAUUUGUGAAUGGUCUACCCUAUGUUGUAUGUUGAACUUGAAGUGUGCAUUGGAUUCUUGUAUUAAAGAAACUAGGAUUAGUUAUAGAGGAAUGUUAGUUGUGAUGUA